CAACCCUGGGUUUAGAGUAAAAUUUUCCUAUCACAUAUCAUCACGUUCCCCUCACUUCAAGGAAUAUGACAUUUCUUGACAAAGAACAUGGUAGUUAUUAAAAAACCACAACAUGUAUCAGUACCCCACGCACUGUCACCUGAGUGUGCCCUGCCUGCAGCAGACAUGAGCUUCAACCAUGGGCCCUGGGAGAGCGGCCGUGGGUGCCCGCACACAGGGAUCGGCUGUAGCUGCAUGCUGUGCACUCCCCUCACAUGUAUGGUUAUAGCAAACCUCCAAAGUUGAGUCACGGGCGCUGUCUUGUGACUUAAAUUUGUUCCUCUUUUGGCCUCAGAUGUUGUCCUGCAGCUGCGCCUGGUGACAAGCUGGUGGCACAGCCCCACCUGACCGUGCCUCAGUUUCCCCAUGCAGGACACCAUGAUCCUGCCUGGCAGCGCCUGUGCUGAGCCAGGAGCCGGGUGUCCUGAGGGAGAGGCACUGCGGAAAUGCCCGAGCAUAGCCCAGCUGUGACUGGCAGAGGCUGAGCGAUGGGAAUGCUUCCAGAUCACUUCCCUGCCUCGCUCGGUGCCUCCCUGCUCCUCAGCUGAUUCCGUGGCCAUUCAACCACGUCAUCUGAUACGACAGCAGCAACCAUUACUCAUUUGUUCCAGGCUGACACCUCUCACCAGCUCACCUGGGUCUGGUGGCUUUCAGCCGCGCCUUCCUGCACAGCCAUCCUUCACCCCGCAGGAGGCCACAAACCAAGGUCCCCAGCAACCUCCUAUGGGUUCACGGGCUUGGCUGUGGGCAGCCGAGGCAGCUUCCCGAGGGCACGUGCUGGGAUUGGAGCCAAGUGUCCCAUCAGCGGUGGAUGAAGCUCUGGGAUCUCAAAUUCCAGAGCAUUGCAGCAGCUCCUUGAACUAGCAUCUGCCUGAUACCCCCGUGGUUGCACCAGCUCUCCCACAGUCCCACUCCUUGGGAUGAUGAGAGAUCAGGAUCAGCCACACAGCAGAGCCAGGCUCUGUGAGGAGCCAGGGGCAGCUUUGGGCUUCAUCCCAGGGAUGCUUCAUGACCCUGUAUCCUGAGACAGUGUCCCAGGCCUCGUUUGUAGGCUCAUGGAAUGAUUUGUGUUGGAAGAGUCCCAACCCCUGCCACGGGCAGGGACACCUUCCACUAGAGCAGCUUGCUCCAAGCCCCUGUGUCCAACCUGCCCUUGAACACUGCCAGGGAUGGGGCAGCCACAGCUUCUCUGGGCACCCUGUGCCAGCGCCUCAGCACCCUCACAGGGAAGAGCUUCUGCCUAAGAGCUCAUCUCAGUCUCCCCUCUGGCAGGUUAAAGCCAUUCCCCUUGGCCUGUCCCUACAGGCCCUUGGCCAAAGCCCCUCUCCAGAGAAUAAAAAACUCGAAGGGGCUGUAACAGCGUAAUAAAUACCAUCCCCUUACCCUCA